GGGGGGGCGGCGGCGGAGGAGGGGUGGAAGAAGCAGGGGGGAAGGGGAGGAGUUUCUGCAGCUCCAGCCUUUAAUCCAGCAGCGAGGUGUCAGGGGGACCUUCUUUGGAUAGGGAGAUGCCCUCAGCAGCGCUGCUCGCUUUGCUUCUCGCCCUUUCAGAAGUAUCCGGAGGGUCCUGAGGGGGAGGAGGGGGGUCGGAGGGGUUCGUACCGCGGGCUGCGUGGCCGCUCUGCGGAGCUCCACGCUGGGCUGAAGCAAGAGAGAGCCCCGUGGGUUGGGAGGAGGUGCACAGGCGCUGCCGAAAGCUUCGGGCGGCUCUACAGGAAGUGAAGAGAGAGCGAAAAGCCCAACUUUGCUCCGGCAGCCCCUCCGAGUGUGCGGGGAGCGGGGCUGUGCCCGGGGAGCCGGGCCAGGAGGGCCCCGCUCCGCUCCCGGACGGCAUUUUAUCAACUCCUGCCCGCCCCAGAAGUCCUCCAAUGUGAAAGUCAGCCGAGGGACAGGAGCAGAUCGCACCCUUCAGGCAAAGGAUUUCCGUGUUACAGAGUAUCGAGAAACGAAACGUGUUCCGAAGGCGAUUCACCGCGGCGAUGCUCCGCACCCAGGGCUGAGCUCCGCGCAGCAAAUCCAAGCUCGGGGUCCCUGCCUUACAGCAGCCCUCGGCUUCCAUCUGCUUAGGGCCGGGUAUUCUAGAUCAAGCUACAAGUUUUAGUUAUAGAAGCGGCUCUUCUCCCCCUUAGGAACUUCUUUCCUACACUACAGGUGUGCACAGUCGGCAAUCAAUCACACCCAGCCUGCCCCGCAGCUGCCCCCACAUCUUUGCUCUCAUCAUUUAAAUGCAGAUUUUUGCUGGAUUCAAAGCUGUGCAUCCGCAUGUUCACAGAGUGUACACUGUAAUCACAGCAAACAAACCUCAUGAGACCCUAUAAAACCAUGAUUUAUAGGUAGUGGGGAUGAGGGAACAGUGUUUUCCAUAGCAUUCUCCUUAUCUACUGAGGAAAAACUGAAAAGUGAUGGCUAUCUUGGAGAAACAAUAAAGCUCAGAUUUAUUUUCCUUCUUUUGGAAGUCUCAGGAAUUAGCAGAUGCAAAGCUAAUUUGGGUGUAUGAUCUGCAAUCAUCGUUCUAAAAUCAUACAGAUAAAGAUAUGAAGCCUCUUCUUUAAUGCUUAGAGAAGCAGUGAGUGCCCCAUCCCUGGAGGACUCAGGGCUGGAUGGGGCCCUGGGCAGCCUGGGCUGAUGGGGGGCAGCUCUGCCCAUAGAAGGGGGUUGGGACUGGAUGGGCAUUAAGGUUUCUUCCAACCCAAACUGUUCUAUGAUUCUGUGACAUGCAACUGUCCCAUACAUCCCUACAGGAUGCCAUGGAAGGAAGCAGACCCAGAAAUGGAACUGCUCGGUAACAAUGUCACCAGAUCACAAUGUCCCAAGUUUGCGAAAUAACCAUAAAACUUUGCUUUAAACCUUGCUUGUAUCAGCUGUAGUUGGUGCAUGGGGAAAAGGAUCUGAGUUGCUGGUGUUUUUAAAACCCACAUUCAAACUUGCUGUUAGCUAUAUUACCAAGCAGCCAUAUGCUUCAUACAGAAUAAAGCUAUCUGUGAAAAUAA